rnacentral:rRNA from 1 species
CUGGUUGAUUCUGCCAGUAAUCAUAUGCUUGUCUCAAAGAUUAAGCCAUGCAUGUCUAAGUACAAACUCUAGCACAGUGAAACUGCGAAUGGCUCAUUAGAUCAGUUAUGGUUCCUUAGAUGAUACAAUCCUACUUGGAUAACUGUGGUAAUUCUAGAGCUAAUACAUGCACUAAAGCUCCGACCCUUUCUGAGGGGAAGAGCGCGUUUAUCAGUUCGAAGCCAGCCGAGCCGCAAGGCUCGUCUCUUUGGUGACUCUGGAUAACUCUAGCGGAUCGCACGGCCUCGAGCCGGCGACGCAUCUAUCAAGUGUCUGCCCUAUCAGACUGUCGAUGGUAAGUGCUAUGCUUACCAUGGUGAUAACGGGUAACGGGGAAUCAGGGUUCGAUUACGGAGAGGGAGCCUGAGAAACGGCUACCACAUCCAAGGAAGGCAGCAGGCGCGCAAAUUACCCAAUCUCGAUACGAGGAGGUAGUGACGAAAAAUAACAAUACGGGACUCUUUCGAGGCCCCGUAAUUGGAAUGAGUGUACUCUAAACGUAUGCACGAGGAUCUAUUGGAGGGCAAGUCUGGUGCCAGCAGCCGCGGUAAUUCCAGCUCCAAUAGCGUAUAUUAAAGCUGUUGUGGUUAAAAAGCUCGUAGUUGGAUCUCAGGGUCGUUCGCGUCGGUCCCUUGCUGCAAUGGCUCGGGUACUGCGCGGUGUCGUCCCCCUUGCCAGACCUCUCAAAAAGGUUGCUCUUGACUGAGUGGCCUGCUCGAGUGGCUGGAGAGUUUACUUUGAAAAAAUUAGAGUGUUCAAAGCAGGCACAGCCCGCCUGUAUAAUGGUGCAUGGAAUAAUGGAAUAGGACCCCGGAUCCUAUUUUGCUGGUUUUUGGAGCUCAGGGGUAAUGAUUAAGAGGAACAGGGCGGGGGCAUCCGUAUUACGGCGUUAGAGGUGAAAUUCUUGGAUCGUCGUAAGACGCCCUACAGCGAAAGCAUUUGCCAAGUAUGUUUUCAUUAAUCAAGAACGAAAGUCAGAGGUUCGAAGACGAUCAGAUACCGUCGUAGUUCUGACCGUAAACUAUGCCAACUGGCAGCCCGUCGGCGUUGCUCUAUUCGACUCGGCGGGAGGCCUACCCGAAAGGAAAGUCUACGGGUUCCAGGGGAAGUAUGGUUGCAAAGCUGAAACUUAAAGGAAUUGACGG